AUUGAUUCAUAUCUCAGAUAGCCUUUCCCAAUAAAAACAAAAAUAUAAAAGUAAUGAGGCUUGUUGCCAUACUAAAACCACAACGAGGAAACAAUAACUGAAGGAAGCUGAUGGCUUAUAUACAGUAUUUAGUUAGGUGGUUAAAAAUCUUUUUAUUUUCUCUCAUCACAUUUGAGGAUAUUCAUGUCAGCUGGAAAAUCACAUAGCAUUUAGUCAUGUUGU
rnacentral:misc_RNA from 1 species